GAUGAACGCUGGCGGCGUGCCUAAUACAUGCAAGUCGAGCGAACAGACGAGGAGCUUGCUCCUCUGACGUUAGCGGCGGACGGGUGAGUAACACGUGGAUAACCUACCUAUAAGACUGGGAUAACUUCGGGAAACCGGAGCUAAUACCGGAUAAUAUAUUGAACCGCAUGGUUCAAAAGUGAAAGACGGUUUUGCUGUCACUAAUAGAUGGAUCCGCGCCGCAUUAGCUAGUUGGUAAGGUAACGGCUUACCAAGGCGACGAUGCGUAGCCGACCUGAGAGGGUGAUCGGCCACACUGGAACUGAGACACGGUCCAGACUCCUACGGGAGGCAGCAGUAGGGAAUCUUCCGCAAUGGGCGAAAGCCUGACGGAGCAACGCCGCGUGAGUGAUGAAGGUCUUCGGAUCGUAAAACUCUGUUAUUAGGGAAGAACAAAUGUGUAAGUAACUAUGCACGUCUUGACGGUACCUAAUCAGAAAGCCACGGCUAACUACGUG
rnacentral:rRNA from 1 species